rnacentral:rRNA from 1 species
GGGGGGGGGGGGGGGGGGGGGGGGGGGGGGGGGGGGGAGGGCGGGAGGUCGGCGUGGGGGGGGGGGGGGAGGGGCGGACGGGUGAGGAACGCGGGAGGGACCGGCCGCCGUCUUUGGGGUAACGCGCGGAAGCGGGGGCUAAGGCGGGAUGGUCACUGGGCUUCGCAGGGGGGGUGGGGGAAGGUGUUUGUCUGGUGGGGGAUGGGCUCGCGGCCUAUCAGCUUGCUGGUGGGGUGAUGGGCUACCAAGGCUUUGACGGGUAGGCGGCCUGAGAGGGUGACCGGGAACAUUGGGACUGAGAUACGGCCCAGACUGCUACGGGAGGCAGCAGUGGGGAAUAUUGCACAAUGGGCGCAAGCCUGAUGCAGCGACGCCGCGGGAGGGAUGGAGGCCUUCAGGUUGUGAACCUCUUUCGCUCAUGGUCAAGCCGCAACAAUGGUUGUGGUGAGGGUAGUGGGUAAAGAAGCGCCGGCUAACUACGUG